rnacentral:lncRNA from 1 species
AUGAUAGGCCCAAGCCCCCACCUCAGGGAUCCUACCUGGCGGAGACCUGUUAAUCUUCAUCACCCUGCAGGUCCUGGUCUGAGGCUGCCUGAGAAGGGCCAAGGAUAUUGGGCACAGUGGAGUAAGAGUUGGCCCGCAGAGAAACCCCAACAGGACACACAUAUCCCAAGGACUUGGGCUGCUGAGAGUGUAAAAGUGGUGCUCAGACAACCUGGCUUCCUGUUUGUCCCCUGCCCUACCUGGCCCAAAAUUCUGUGGAGAAGACCCACAUACCUCUGGCAGCAGAAGUCAAAUUCUGUCAGUCAGUAAGGUGGAUCCCUGCCCUUCACCGGGGACCUCCAGCCAGAUGGUGCCUUUGGGGUGGCCCUGGCCACCAUGGUGCAGGUAAGUAGUGUUGGUCCAGAGUCUGACAUGCAUUGCAUGCCACCCAAACACACCUGUGACUCCCAAGUUCAUUAUCCUUCCUUUUAUUUCAGCUCACACUCGUCUACACUCAAUGUGUCCUCAUGUUUGGCCAUACAGUCACGGCCACAGCCCAUGUCAGAGAUGUGUAUCAGCAGCAGCUCUGUGUCUGACCCCUUUUUAUCCAUCUUGUUUCCUAGAGGAUAUAUAUACCUGUGUUGAGUGUGAACAGCCAUAGGGUCCAUGCUCUUUAGUAACUGUGGUCUUCUCACACCAGUGUCCUCAGUGUUUACCUGUCUAUGCCACAGGUCUACCAGGAGUCCCUUCCUUUGUGUUUCUCAGUUAACC